UACGUAGGGGGCUAGCGUUGUCCGGAAUCAUUGGGCGUAAAGAGCGUGUAGGCGGCUCGGUAAGUCCGCUGUGAAAGUCCAGGGCUCAACCCUGGAAUGCCGGUGGAUACUGUCGGGCUAGAGUCCGGAAGGGGCGAGUGGAAUUCCUGGUGUAGCGGUGAAAUGCGCAGAUAUCAGGAGGAACACCAAUGGCGAAGGCAGCUCGCUGGGACGUGACUGACGCUGAGACGCGAAAGCGUGGGGAGCAAACAGG
rnacentral:rRNA from 1 species